AACGAACGCUGGCGGCAUGCCUAACACAUGCAAGUCGAACGAGACCUUCGGGUCUAGUGGCGCACGGGUGCGUAACGCGUGGGAACCUGCCCUUAGGUUCGGAAUAACUCCCCGAAAGGGGUGCUAAUACCGGAUAAUGUCUUCGGACCAAAGAUUUAUCGCCUUUGGAUGGGCCCGCGUUGGAUUAGCUAGUUGGUAGGGUAAAAGCCUACCAAGGCGACGAUCCAUAGCUGGUCUGAGAGGAUGAUCAGCCACACUGGGACUGAGACACGGCCCAGACUCCCGGGGGGGGCAAGUGGGGGAAAUUGUGGACUGGGGGAGAGCGCCUUCCCCAGCUGCCCCGCGAGUGUGAUAGGGGUUUGGGUUUUAAAACUCUUUUUCCCCCGGUGUGAUUAUGACAGCCGCGGGAAAAUGCUCCCCGUCUCUCCCC
rnacentral:rRNA from 1 species